GUGGGGGAUAUUGCGCAAUGGGGGCAACCCUGACGCAGCAACGCCGCGUGAAGGAUGAAGGUUUUCGGAUUGUAAACUUCUUUUGUUAGGGACGAAGAAUGACGGUACCUAACGAAUAAGCUCCGGCUAACUACGUGCCAGCAGCCGCGGUAAUACGUAGGGAGCAAGCGUUGUCCGGAUUUACUGGGUGUAAAGGGUGCGUAGGCGGCUAAGUAAGUCAGAUGUGAAAUCUAUGGGCUCAACCCAUAAACUGCAUUUGAAACUACAUAGCUUGAGUGAAGUAGAGGCAGGCGGAAUUCCCUGUGUAGCGGUGAAAUGCGUAGAGAUAGGGAGGAACACCAGUGGCGAAGGCGGUCUGCUGGGCUUUAACUGACGCUGAGGCACGAAAGCGUGGGUAGCAAACAGGAUUAGAUACCCUAGUAGUCC
rnacentral:rRNA from 1 species